GAGACGCUGGCGGCGUGCCUACACAUGCAGUCGAGCGAUGAAUUUCCUUUGGGGGUUUUUUUUCGGGGCGGGGGGGUGUGACACGGGGGUGCCCUGUCUCUUAGAGGGGGAUAUCCUCCUCCGAGGGAUAUAAAUACCCCAUAAUAUUUUAUUUUCUCGUGUGAAUUUUUUAAUGAGAAUUUUCCGCUUUGAGAUGGGCCCGCGGCGCAUUAUCUAUUUGGUGAGGUAAGGGCUCACCAGGGCGACAAUGCGUACCCGACCUGAGAGGGUGAUCGCCCACAUUGGGACUGAGACACGGCCCACACUCCUACGGGGGGCAACUGUGGGGAAUAUUGCACAGUGGGGGAAACCCUGACGCAGCAACCCCGCGUGUGUGAUGAAGGUCUUCUGUUUGUAAAACUCUGUCUUUGGGGACGAUAGUGACGGUACCCCAGGAAGAAGCCGCGGCUAUCUACGUGCCCCCCCCCGCGAUA
rnacentral:rRNA from 1 species